CUCGUCCUAUGGUGCCAGCGAGUUAUGUCGGGGACUCAUAGGAGACUGCCGGGGUCAACUCGGAGGAAGGUGGGGAUGACGUCAAGUCAUCAUGCCCCUUACGUCCUGGGCUGCACACAUGCUACAAUGGCCGGUACAAAGGGCUGCGAUACCGCGAGGUGGAGCGAAUCCCAAAAAGCCGGUCUCAGUUCGGAUCGGGGUCUGCAACUCGACCCCGUGAAGUCGGAGUCGCUAGUAAUCGCAGAUCAGCAAUGCUGCGGUGAAUACGUUCCCGGGCCUUGUACACACCGCCCGUCACGUCACGAAAGUCGGUAACACCCGAAGCCGGUGGCCUAACCCUUGUGGAAGGAGCCGUCGAAGGUGGGACCGGCGAUUGGGACGAAGUCGUAACAAGGUAGCCGUACCGGAAGGUGCGGCUGGAUCACCUCCUUUCUAAGGAGCGUCUGGCUGGUCUGUCCUGUUGGGGAUGGGCUGGUUCAGGGCCAGGGCCGGAUGUGCAUGCCGGUCUGGUUGCUCAUGGGUGGAACGCUGACGAUAGAAAAUGCUGGUUGUCUGGCAGGCGUCUAGUACUCUCUGGUUGUCCUUGUCCUUUUGGGGUGGGGGUGGUUGGGGGUGGAACGGGUCUGGUGGGUGGCUGGUGGUGCGUGGCACGCUGUUGGGUCCUGAGGGAGUGAGGCUUCCUCGUCUGGUGUGACCCCUUCUGCUGAUCCUCCUUGUGGGGGGUUGUGGUGGGGGUCUGCUGGUGAAACGGACCGGUCGUGGUAGGGGACUGCUCUCCUGUGUGGGGGUGGGUUCUACCGGUCGCCUGGGGCCGUCCGUACGUUGAGAACUGCACAGUGGACGCGAGCAUCUUUGUGGCCAAGUUAGUAAGGGCGC
rnacentral:sRNA from 1 species